GAGAAAGAAAAAAAAGAAUAAGAAAAAAGAAAAAAAGGAUAUCAAAGGUAUGAAGGUUGAA
rnacentral:ribozyme from 1 species